rnacentral:pre_miRNA from 1 species
AACCUUCACAGGCUGGCUGGUCCCCAGGCAGGCCUGGGCGAGUACCGCUUUGAAAGGCUUACCCUCAAGCACCGACUAGGAAG